rnacentral:tRNA from 1 species
UGGGCCGGUAGCUCAGGUGGUUAGAGCGCACGCCUGAUAAGCGUGAGGUCGGAGGUUCAACUCCUCCCCGGCCCACCAG